AAAAAGACAAACAUCGUAUGUACUCACUCAUAUGAAUUUUAGACAUAGAGCAAAGGAUAUGCCAACUGCAAACCUCAUCUCCAAAGGAACUAGGAAACAAGAAGCACUCUAAGAGAAGAAUGCAUGGACCUCAGAGAAGUAUUAGUGGUGGGCACUCCUGAGCUGGUUUGAAGGAUGAGGGUACAGGAGAAGGAUCUGGGAGAAUGAGAGGGGGGAAGAGGCAGGGAGAGGAGGAAAGGGUGGAGCAGAAAGGUUGAGUCGGGGGGCGAAAUAGAGGAAAGCAGGAUGAGAGAUGCCAUAAUAGAGGGAAGCCUUAUAGGUUCUAGGAGUGAUCUGGCACUUGGGAGAUUUCCAGAGAUCUACCUGAGGACACCAACUAACAAUCUAGGCAAUGGUGGAGAGGCUACCCUAAAUGCCCUUCCCCUAUAAUGAGACUGAUCACUGCCAUAUAUGCCAUGAUAGAGCCCUCAUCCUGUAUCUGACGGAGGCAGAGGCAGCCACCCACAGCUAAACACUGAAUUGAACUAUUGGACCAUUUGCAGAUUGGGAGGAGUGAAGAUGAAAUAGGACAGGACCAGGCUGGGGAAACCCACAGAAGCAGCUGACCUGAACAAGGGGGAGCACAUGGAUAUCAGACUGAUUUCUGGGAGGCCAGCAAGUAUCUGAUCCAGACACCACAAUGUGGAAGUCAAUGCGGAGGCCUUGGCACUCUAUGCGGCCCCUGGUAGUGGAUCAGUAUUUACCCAUGGCAUGAGAAUGGAAUUUGGUAGCACAUCCCAAAUGGAGGGAUGCUCUCUCAGCCUGGACACAUGGGGAGGGCCAAGGCCCUACCCAGGAUGAUAUAACAGACUUUGAGGAACCCCCAGAGAGGGACUUACCCUCCCUGGGGAGCAGAGGAGGAAUGAGGAGUGUGGCUAGUGGGUGAUGGAGUGAAGGGGAAGCUGAGAGAGAAGAGAUUGACAUGUAAAGCAGGAUUGUUUCUAAUUUGAACUAAUAAAAAAUAAUCUCUUGGGAAAAAUCUAAUUUAUCCAGAGUCACUCAAAGUUAAUCCUUGAUACCUUCCAAC
rnacentral:lncRNA from 1 species